AAUAGAUACCCUGGUAGUCCAUGCCGUAAACGUUGGGAACUAGAUGUAGGGCCUGUUCCACGGGUUCUGUGUCGUAGCUAACGCAUUAAGUUCCCCGCCUGGGGAGUACGGCCGCAAGGCUAAAACUCAAAGGAAUUGACGGGGGCCCGCACAAGCGGCGGAGCAUGCGGAUUAAUUCGAUGCAACGCGAAGAACCUUACCAAGGCUUGACAUACACCAGAACACCGUAGAAAUACGGGACUCUUUGGACACUGGUGUACAGGUGGUGCAUGGUUGUCGUCAGCUCGUAUCGUGAGAUGUUCGGUUAAGUCCGGCAACGAGCGCAACCCUCGUCCUAUGUUGCCAGCACGUGAUGGUGGGAACUCAUGGGAUACUGCCGUGGUCAACACGGAGGAAGGUGGGGAUGACGUCAAAUCAUCAUGCCCCUUAUGUCUUGGGCUUCACGCAUGCUACAAUGGCCGGUACAAAGGGCUGCGAUACCGUAAGGUGGAGCGAAUCCCAAAAAGCCGGUCUCAGUUCGGAUUGGGGU
rnacentral:rRNA from 1 species